rnacentral:rRNA from 1 species
UACGUAGGGUGCAAGCGUUAAUCGGAAUUACUGGGCGUAAAGCGUGCGUAGGCGGUUCGUUAAGUCAGCUGUGAAAGCCCCGGGCUCAACCUGGGAACUGCGGUUGAAACUGGCGAACUAGAAUCUGGCAGAGGGGGGUGGAAUUCCACGUGUAGCAGUGAAAUGCGUAGAGAUGUGGAGGAACACCGAUGGCGAAGGCAGCCCCCUGGGCUGAGAUUGACGCUGAGGCGCGAAAGCCAGGGGAGCAAACGGG